rnacentral:rRNA from 1 species
UACGUAGGUGGCAAGCGUUAUCCGGAUUUAUUGGGCGUAAAGAGAACGCAGGCGGUCUUUUAAGUCUGAUGUGAAAGCCUUCGGCUUAACCGGAGUAGUGCAUUGGAAACUGGGAGACUUGAGUGCAGAAGAGGAGAGUGGAACUCCACGUGUAGCGGUGAAAUGCGUAGAUAUAUGGAAGAACACCAGUGGCGAAAGCGGCUCUCUGGUCCGUAACUGACGCUGAGGUUCGAAAGCGUGGGUAGCAAACAGG